rnacentral:rRNA from 1 species
UACGUAGGGGCCUAGCGUUGUCCGGAAUUAUUGGGCGUAAAGAGCUCGUAGGCGGUUUGUCACGUCGGCCGUGAAAACUCGGGGCUCAACCCCGAGCCUGCGGUCGAUACGGGCAGACUAGAGUGCUGUAGGGGAGACUGGAAUUCCUGGUGUAGCGGUGAAAUGCGCAGAUAUCAGGAGGAACACCGGUGGCGAAGGCGGGUCUCUGGGCAGUAACUGACGCUGAGGAGCGAAAGCGUGGGGAGCGAACAGG